CAUGCAGUCGAACGGUGAAGCAGGAGCUUGCUCUUGUGGAUCAGUGGCGAACGGGUGAGUAACACGUGAGCAACCUGCCCCGGACUCUGGGAUAAGCGCUGGAAACGGCGUCUAAUACUGGAUACGAGUAGCGACCGCAUGGUCAGCUAUUGGAAAGAAUUUCGGUCUGGGAUGGGCUCGCGGCCUAUCAGCUUGUUGGUGAGGUAAUGGCUCACCAAGGCGUCGACGGGUAGCCGGCCUGAGAGGGUGACCGGCCACACUGGGACUGAGACACGGCCCAGACUCCUACGGGAGGCAGCAGUGGGGAAUAUUGCACAAUGGGCGCAAGCCUGAUGCAGCAACGCCGCGUGAGGGAUGACGGCCUUCGGGUUGUAAACCUCUUUUAGUAGGGAAGAAGCGAAAGUGACGGUACCUGCAGAAAAAGCGCCGGCUAACUACGUGCCAGCAGCCGCGGUAAUACGUAGGGCGCAAGCGUUAUCCGGAAUUAUUGGGCGUAAAGAGCUCGUAGGCGGUUUGUCGCGUCUGCUGUGAAAUCUGGGGGCUCAACCCCCAGCCUGCAGUGGGUACGGGCAGACU
rnacentral:rRNA from 1 species